GACUAAGAUGUAGGUAAAAAGGAAUAAAGGUUUUCCCUGCUCAAAACUCUCAUGAAGAAAUUAAUGGAGAAGGAAAGCACAAAGCAUGCUUGAAAGAAAGCAACUAUCCAGGCUCUCUGGAAAAUAUUGCCAUGUCCAUAGGGAUAUAUAUGCCCAGUGAUAAAUCUCUAAAGAAGACACGAAGAAAUAAGAGAAGGGCAAGAUGAGAGACAAGACACCAACUCCCAAAGAAAAUUGCCGAGUUUCUCAACCCUUCAAGGGCCAUUUGAGAGCAACUUGGUGUUGUGCAAGUCACUGUAUGCAGUAUGCAGAGCAGACAGAAUUUGCUGCGGGAUAUGAAGCUCACCAAGCGACCAAGGGAUCUAACUGGAACCGGCAGAGAAGAGCCCUUUAGAAGUAGAAGUGAGAGAAUGUUCCUAACUGAUUCACAGACACAGCACUUCCCAGCACUCCCGGUGAGAGCCAGAAAACCCGGGGGUCCAAACCUAAAAGACAGGGGACAUCAACAAGGCUGAGAUGAUCCAUUUUGCCCAAAGAUUUGUAAUCUCUUUAUGUGGGCUACCCAUACAAUGUCUGAAAC
rnacentral:lncRNA from 10 species